CUAUUGCUGAACAGACUUUAUCUAAUUAUUUUGCAUAUCUAACUUUAUACUCAUUUAUUUGAUGUUGUUUUCUAUUACAGAAACAUGUCAAAGGGUCUAUAAAGACAUUACUGACCAUGAAAUGAGAAGAUGCAUAGGGGAUUGCCAAUCCCACACAAUAAUUGUUUGUGGUCACAGGCCGGUGCCAAAUUCAAGAUCAUAGAACAGAUACAGAUGGACAUCAUAUUAUAUUUUUGUUGUUCUGUCAACAUUAUUGUGCAUCUGCAUUAAACUUGUACCCUAGGCCUAUACUAUAAGUUAUUCUCUGGUUUAUUACAAUGUCAUAUUUAAAAUGUUUUAAUACCUGGAAAAUUUGAAGCCUAAUAAAAGUUUAAAUUACU